rnacentral:rRNA from 1 species
GACGAACGCUGGCGGCGUGCUUAACACAUGCAAGUCGAACGGAAAGGCCCUGCUUUUGUGGGGUGCUCGAGUGGCGAACGGGUGAGUAACACGUGAGUAACCUGCCCUUGACUUUGGGAUAACUUCAGGAAACUGGGGCUAAUACCGGAUAGGAGCUCCUGCUGCAGGGUGGGGGUUGGAAAGUUUCGGCGGUUGGGGAUGGACUCGCGGCUUAUCAGCUUGUUGGUGGGGUAGUGGCUUACCAAGGCUUUGACGGGUAGCCGGCCUGAGAGGGUGACCGGCCACAUUGGGACUGAGAUGCGGCCCGGCCUCCUACGGGAGGCAGAGGUGGAGAAUAUUGCACAAUGGGCGGAGGCCUGAUGCAACAACGCCGCGUGCGGGAUGACGGGCUUCGGGUUGUAAACCGCUUUCGCCUGUGACGAAGCGUGAGUGACGGUAAUGGGUAAAGAAGCACCGGCUAACUACGUG